UACGGAGGGGGCUAGCGUUGUUCGGAAUUACUGGGCGUAAAGCGCGCGUAGGCGGACCUGCAAGUCGGGGGGUGAAAGCCCGAGGCUCAACCUCGGAACUGCCUUCGAUACUGCGGGUCUCGAGUCCGGGAGAGGUGAGUGGAAUUCCUAGUGUAGAGGUGAAAUUCGUAGAUAUUAGGAAGAACACCAGUGGCGAAGGCGGCUCACUGGCCCGGUACUGGACGCUGAGGCGCGAAAGCGUGGGGAGC
rnacentral:rRNA from 1 species